GCAGUCGCCGCGGUAAUACAGAGGGUGCGAGCGUUAAUCGGAUUUACUGGGCGUAAAGCGUGCGUAGGCGGCUUCUUAAGUCGGAUGUGAAAUCCCUGAGCUUAACUUAGGAAUUGCAUUCGAUACUGGGAAGCUAGAGUAUGGGAGAGGAUGGUAGAAUUCCAGGUGUAGCGGUGAAAUGCGUAGAGAUCUGGAGGAAUACCGAUGGCGAAGGCAGCCAUCUGGCCUAAUACUGACGCUGAGGUACGAAAGCAUGGGGAGCAAACAGGAUUAGAUACCCCUGUAGUCCCUGUCUCUUAUAC
rnacentral:rRNA from 1 species